GGUACCGGAAGAAUAAGCACCGGUUAAUUACGUGCCAGCAGCCGCGGUAAUACGUAGGGUGCGAGCGUUAAUCGGAAUUACUGGGCGUAAAGCGUGCGUAGGUGGUUACGAAAGUCGGGUGUGAAAGCCCUGGGCUCAACCUGGGAAUGCCAUUCGAUACUUCGUGACUAGAGUUCGGUAGAGGGCGGCGGAACUCCAGGUGUAGCGGUGAAAUGCGUAGAUAUCUGGAAGAACACCGAUGGCGAAGGCAACUGCCUGGGCCUGAACUGACACUGAGGCACGAAAGCGUGGGGAGCAAACAGGAUUAGAUACCCUGGUAGUC
rnacentral:rRNA from 1 species